AAUAAUCCAAUUACAUUUUAUCUUUAAAUUUUUUUAUUAAACUAAAUAAUUACAUUUUUUGACUAAGUAGAAUUUGCUGCAAAAACAGGUUCCUAAUUCUAAUGACCAAGACCAAAAUCAAUGGACUAGUUAAGCACUCCUUUGGACCUAGGCGCAAAAACAUGCUGUCUUGAAGCUUGGAGCAGCCACUUUUCCAUUCCAUCAAAGUCUCUUCAAACCUGUGACCUGCAAAGAGAAAAUAGCUUAUUUUAAAAGCACUUUUCAAAAGCACUUAGAGAGCUGAAAAACAACUAAAUGAAUCAUUCAGACAGCCACUUUUCCAUUCCAUCAAAGUCUCUUCAAACCUGUGACCUGCAAAGAGAAAAUAGCUUAUUUUAAAAGCACUUUUCAAAAGCACUUAGAGAGCUGAAAAACAACUAAAUGAAUCAUUCAGUUUGAAGCUUUAUCCAUAAGGUUAACCUAAGCAUCCAAAAAGCGCUUUUUACAUUAGCUUAAAACAAGAACAGAUCAAAUCCCACAUAAUUUGGGAUGAGAAAAUCGAAAAGAAAAAGGAGUUUUUUAAGGCUUAAUCCUUUCUUCAUAAUAAUAACAGAAGAGAGGUUAACUGGGGGAUACACAUCAUAGUAAGAGAUUUUUCAAAAGAAACUCUAAACAUAACAGCAAACACAACAAUAAACGCAACAAAGUUAUUUUUCUUCAAAACCCAAAAUCAAGAACAACAUAAACACAGCAAAGUUAUUUUUCUUCAAAAUCCAAAAUCAAGAACAACCUAAACACAAACAGAGUUUUCUUUCAAAAACCAUAAAGAACACAACAGCAAGAAAUUUCUCAAAAACCCUAAAAACUUACGGAAAAGCAAAAGGAAGGUAGUUCACCUCACUGAAGAAUCGCUCGCUGAAGAGAACCAUUGCCGGCAUCCGAAGGAUCUCACCGAACCCGGAGAUUUUCAGAACUUCCGAUUUGGUAAACGAUUCACCUCUAUCUUCCUCCAUGAGUUCCCUUUUUGUAGAUUUUUCGGUUGAGUUUGUUUUCGUAUGAUUUUAUGUCAUGUGGCUCGAAAUUAUGAGAAGGAGAAAGAGGGAAGUGGUUCAUGAAACAGAGUUAGGGAAGAGAGAGAGUGAAGCGACGGAGAAGAGCGGAGGCUCCGCCGUGAGCCGCCGCCUCCGAUCGUCUUCUCCAAGAGAGAAGAAAUUUAGGGUUCGUGAAAGGAGGCGCUCUGUAUAGAGCCCUUUCGUUUGAGUUUGGUAUGAAGAGAGAGAAAAGCU
rnacentral:lncRNA from 1 species